GAUGAACGCUGGCGGCGUGCCUAAUACAUGCAAGUCGAGCGAACAGACGAGGAGCUUGCUCCUCUGACGUUAGCGGCGGACGGGUGAGUAACACGUGGAUAACCUACCUAUAAGACUGGGAUAACUUCGGGAAACCGGAGCUAAUACCGGAUAAUAUAUUGAACCGCAUGGUUCAAUAGUGAAAGACGGUUUUGCUGUCACUUAUAGAUGGAUCCGCGCCGCAUUAGCUAGUUGGUAGGGUAACGGCUUACCAAGGCCACGAUGCGUAGCCGACCUGAGAGGGGGAGCCGGCACGCCGGAACUGGGACCCGGGUCCGACCCCUACGGGGAGGCGCAGUAGGGAAUCUUCCGCAAAGGGCGAAAGCCUGACGGAGCAACGCCGCGUGAGUGAUGAAGGUCUUCGGAUCGUAAAACUCUGUUAUUAGGGAAGAACAAAUGUGUAAGUAACUAUGCACGUCUUGACGGUACCUAAUCAGAAAGCCACGGCUAACUACGUG
rnacentral:rRNA from 1 species